rnacentral:rRNA from 1 species
GACGUAGGGCGCGAGCGUUGUCCGGAUUUAUUGGGCGUAAAGAGCUCGUAGGUGGUUUGUUACGUCCGCUGUGAAAUCCUAGGGCUUAACCCUGGGCUUGCAGUGGAUACGGGCAGACUAGAGGUAGGUAGGGGAGAAUGGAAUUCCUGGUGUAGCGGUGAAAUGCGCAGAUAUCAGGAGGAACACCAAUUGCGAAGGCAGCUCGCUGGAACGUAACUGACGCUGAGACGCGAAAGCGUGGGGAGCAAACAGG